rnacentral:tRNA from 1 species
UGAGAUGUCGCCAAGUGGUAAGGCAUCGGGCUUUGAAUCCGACAUUCGAGUGUUCGAGUCACUCCAUCUCAG